UCCAACUAUGACCAAUUCUCUCCAUUCCUUUUUCUUUUUGAUAUUCCCUCAUUUUUUUGCUCUGUAAAAAUUCACAAAAUAAUAGUUGCUGCCCAACCUCAUUUUUCAUAUUUCUCUGCUCUCGUCGUUAUUGCCCAACCCUUGUCGCUCUGUCUCCCUAUCGCAGGCCACCAUCCCCAAAACUCAGAUCCCACUUAAUAUUUUACUAUUGUAAAGUCAGCAAAAGUUUACCAUUGUGAAGUCAGCAAUGACUUAGUGCUCUUUUCAUCACUAUUCUACAACUCUACAAGUUAGGGAGGGUGAAUUGAAGCACAUGGAUGCAGCACAACUGAGAGAGUAUGGUCACAACAUGGUUAAAAUUCAUUGUUGAUUAUUACAAGAAUAUUGAGAACUCCCUGUUCUUAGUUAAGUUCAGGUUUUUAUAACCCAUCAAUUUCUUUGCCAUUGUAUCAUUACCAUGUUAUUGCGGUAUUGCCAAGAGUUAAUAGUUUUCUUAAGAGUUUUUGUACCUGCCUGUCAGUUGUGUUUCGGCAGUCUAUGGAGCCUUAGCUAGAGAGCAGUACUCUAUUUUAUUUAGAAUAAAUGGUGGAGCUAAAUGUUAUAAUAAUGAAUAUAUAUACAGUUUUUACUA